AUAUUAGAAAAUUAACCAUGCUUGGAACAAUGUCCCUGGUAAAACCAAUAGGUGCAAUUGUGAUAAAAAAAAAUGAUCUGGAGUUCAGAUAAAAGUACGAAGAAAUAUGAAAAACAAACAAUUGCUAUGAAUGUUGUGUGCCAAGUCACCCUCCAU